AUUGAACGCUGGCGGAAUGCUUUACACAUGCAAGUCGAACGGCAGCACGGACUUCGGUCUGGUGGCGAGUGGCGAACGGGUGAGUAAUGUAUCGGAACAUGCCCAGUCGUGGGGGAUAACGUAGUGAAAAUUACGCUAAUACCGCAUACGAUCUAUGGAUGAAAGCGGGGGAUCGCAAGACCUCGCGCGAUUGGAGCGGCCGAUAUCAGAUUUGGUAGUUGGUGGGGUAAAGGCCCACCAAGCCAACGAUCUGUAGCUGGUCUGAGAGGACGACCGGCCACACUGGAACUGAGACACGGUCCAGACUCCUACGGGAGGCAGCAGUGGGGAAUUUUGGACAAUGGGCGAAAGCCUGAUCCAGCCAUUCCGCGUGCAGGAUGAAGGCCCUCGGGUUGUAAACUGCUUUUGUACAGAACGAAAAGGUUUCUACUAAUACUAGGAGCUCAUGACGGUACUGGAAGAAUAAGCACCGGCUAACUACGUGCCAGCCGCCGCGGUAA
rnacentral:rRNA from 1 species